rnacentral:rRNA from 1 species
AUACGGAGGGUCCAAGCGUUAUCCGGAUUCAUUGGGUUUAAAGGGUCCGCAGGCGGGAAAAUAAGUCAGUGGUGAAAGCCUACAGCUCAACUGUAGAACUGCCAUUGAAACUGUUUUUCUUGAGUAUAGAUGAAGUGGGCGGAAUAUAUCAUGUAGCGGUGAAAUGCAUAGAUAUGAUAUAGAACACCGAUUGCGAAGGCAGCUCACUAAACUAUUACUGACGCUCAGGGACGAAAGCGUGGGGAGCGAACAGGAUUAGAAACCCUAGUAGUCC